ACUUUGUCAAGGGCCAGCGUUGGUUUCUCGUCUGGACUACUGUUUGCAAACUGCUGACUUACAAAAUGGUAACAGCCUCCUAACAAUGGGUGAAUCUACAGGAUGUCAAGCAGCAACUCUCAGGUGAACCACUCAGUCAGUGGAUCUGGUGUUAACUAUACAAUGCCAAAUGUCUUCUGGUGAUCUGAAGACAUCAGGGGCUUUUCUAUCAUGUAGACCAAACAUGAUUCAGAACUCCAGAGCCAGAAGGAUGAUAUCUCAACAAAUGACAGAGCCCAAUUCAUUGACUCCAAUAAGAACGACACGCGUCUAUUAUAACUUUACAAGAUGGAAAGUACAUACAGAAAAAUUUUGAAGUUUUAAGAGUUAAAUCUUAUAGUCCUAUAUGAAAGAAUGGAUCAGCAAAUUCAAAUAUUCAUAUCUUAUUGGGCUCUAUUUCCUGUAUUUUUCUCACAUGCCACUCUUUUAAAAUAGGUAUCUAUGUAUGUGUCAACAACCUUUGAAUAAGCCAGAGCAACUAGGCAAGAAAAAAAAAAAAGAACAGCUAAACUGGAAAGAAGGAAGUCAAAUUAUCCCUGUUUGUAGAUGACAUGGUCACAUAUAUAGAGAAACCUAAACAUUCUACCAAAAAAACUCUUAGAAUUGAUCAACAAAUUCAGUAAAUUUUCAGGAUACAAAAUUGACAUGAAAAAUCAGUAGCAUUUUUAUACAUGAACAACAAACUAGAUGAAAAACAAAGCAAGAAGGCAAUCCCAUUUACAAUAGCUACAAAAAUAAUUAAAUACAAUAAUGUAACCAAGGUAGUAAAGAUCUCUACAAGGAAAACCACAAAUGAGAGAAACUAAAGAGGAUAAAAAUAAAUGGAAAGACAUUCCAUGCUCAUGCAUCAGAAUAAUUAAUAUUAUUAAAUGACCAUACUACCCAAAGCAACCUACACACUCAACGUAAUCCCUAUCAAAAUACCAAUGACAUUCUUCACAGAAAUAGAAAAAAGCCUUAAAAUUUGUAUGGAACCACAAAAAACACAAUGCCAAAGCAAUAUUAAGCAAAAAAGAAAGAAGAAAGAAAAAAAGAGAGAAAGAGAGAAAGGAAGGAAGGAAGGAAG
rnacentral:lncRNA from 1 species